UUCUGAAAUCACCUUUUUAGUCAGUCUGAGGGAUCCUGACUGGUCUGUGGUAGCACACACAGCUGGUGUGGACCAUCAGCACAUGGGCUGCAAGGAAAAUCGCCCCGAUGUCCAGACAGUGGGGCCAGGUGGUUUCUGGGUUUUGGCCUAGCCCCUGCUCUUGGUCUGACUGAGCAAUACUUCCCCAGAUGUCCCUUGCCCUUCAGCCCACUGGCCCUGACCUUUGUUAGAAGUGGAUGCCCAGCAGCUUUCUGGUUGUCUGUGAAUGCCCGGUGAAGAUUCUGAACUGAUUCCUCACCAGACAGUUGCUCUGUUUGCACCACAAGGGGCUUUCCCACGUGUGAGCAGGCCUCCCACCAGCUUCAUUCCUCCAAACUCCCAAACCAGCAGCACUGUCUCCUAAGAUACAACAGGACAGGCUUUGAGGACAGAAACCCAGGGUCACGUUCCUGCUCCAUCACUUUCCAUCAGCAUGGUCUCGGGCAAGGGAAUCGUCAAAUUCCCCAGGAACUUAGCUGAAGAGUUUCGUGAGCCGGAAGUGCCUCUGAAAGAAGUGAGCAGAGAGAAGGGUCUCAAGAUGGCCAGGUUUUGGACUUACACCAUAGGCUCUACUGGUCCUUAGGCCUUUGGACUGAGGCUGGAACCACAUCCUCAGCUCUCCUGGAUCUCCAGCUUGGCAACUGCAGACCUUGGGACAUUUCAGAUUCCAUAAUCAUGACGAAGGCGAUGGCAGCAGUUUUCCAGGCUAGCUGUCUUCACAACCCGAUGGCUCUCUUCUUUUCUGCUGCCACAGAGACUGACUGUCUGCCUCCUGCAAAUUUGAAAUUUGGCAAACCUGCCUCCUCUGCUUCUCAGAACCAAACUGGGGCCAGGAGAACUUCUGACCCAAGUGUUGAUCACCUCUCUUCCUGCACCUCACUGUGCACCCUCUGCUCAGGAAAUGCCUUUGGCGUGUUGCUGACGUCUGUCCCUGCUCCAUCUCUUACCACCCUGCACUUCACCCUUUCCCACACAGGUUUCACCUGAUCUCAGCUGCUUUGGGCAGACCAUCCAGGUAUUUUGGAGUCUGAAAAGGAUCUCUGUCUCUAAGUCUGGUGCAAAUGGAGUUUGGGGGUUUUAAAAUUCAUUCUUCUUGCUGCUGUUUCACAAUUUCUCAGAAAAGGUGAAAAUGCAGACUUUGGCAGUUAUGUUCAAUAUGAAAAGUCUUAAUAAAGUAAUUUUUGACCUAAAGCCCACCAGUAUUUCUGGAACAAUUCAGUCAAUCUUUGAACUUGGUCACAUAAAGUCUUAUUAGAAACACAACGGGGAUUUUGGAGACAGGACUAGUGAACUUUGUGUAGUUAAAUAGAAACUUGAAUUGCCAGUGUAGAGUACU
rnacentral:lncRNA from 1 species